rnacentral:rRNA from 1 species
UACAGAGGCCUCGAGCGUUAGGCGGAAUCACUGGGCUUAAAGCGUGUGUAGGUGGAUGCCUAAGUACCUUGUGAAAUCCCACGGCUCAACCGUGGAACUGCUGGGUAUACUGGGUGUCUUGAGCCACUCAGGGGCUACCGGAACAAGCGGUGGAGCGGUGAAAUGCGUAGAUAUCGCUUGGAACGCCAAUGGUGAAAACAGGUAGCUGGGGGUGUGCUGACACUGAGACACGAAAGCCAGGGGAGCAAACGGG